rnacentral:rRNA from 1 species
AUGGAAGCACCGCACAUUCAUCCGCCAAUGGACGUCCAUGAGCCCGCCCCGCCGUCCCCGCUCUUCUCUGACAUUUCCCCACACUUCCCACUGUCCAUUGCGGACGCCGGCGCCGGCGCGCUGGACCUCUCCUUCACCUCCACCGCCUCCGCAUCCACCUCCUCCUUCACCACCGCCACCACCUUCAGCGCGCGGAGCUCGCUCUCCCUGCCGUCCUUCUCCUCCUCCACCUCGCUCUCGCCGCGCCCGCACUCGUCGUCCACCUCCCAGCACUGGACGCACCUCGCAGCCGCCCGCGCCGCCACACCGGACGGCGUACUCCGCCUUGCCCACCUCCACCUCGUCCGCGAGCUCGGCCAGGGACACCUCGCGCGGGUCUUCCUCUGCCGCCUCAAGUCCUCCCCGCCGGCCUCGCCGCUCUUCGCGCUCAAGGUCGUCGACCUCCGAGACGACGAUCCCUCCCGUGUCUGCCACGUUCUCGCCGAGUCUCGCGUCCUCUCGUCGCUCGACCACCCAUUCGUGCCCACCCUCUACGCGCGCCUCGACGCCGGACGCUACGCCUGCUUCCUCAUGGACUACUGCUCCGGGGGCGACCUGCACUCGGUGCUCCGCCGCCGCCCCGGAGGCCGCCUGCCCGUCGCAGCGGCCAGGUUCUACGCCGCCGAGGUGCUGCUCGCUCUGGAGUACCUGCACGUGCUCGGCUUCGUGUACCGCGACCUCAAGCCGGAGAACGUGCUGCUCCGAGGAGACGGGCACGUGGUGCUCUCCGACUUCGACCUCGCGCUCCCGGCGUCCGUGGAGCCCGCCGUCCGCCGGCGCCAGGUGCGGCAGCAGAGCCAGCGCCGCAAGAGGAGCCUCCUGCCGUCGUGCUUCUCUUCCAACCGCGGCAGCGACGAGGACGACGUGGACGCGAAGGAGCGGUUCGAGUUCGUGGCCGAGCCGACGGCCGCCAACUCCAAGGACUGCGUGGGCACGCACGAGUACCUGGCGCCGGAGCUGGUGAGCGGGAACGGGCACGGCAACGGCGUGGACUGGUGGGCCUUCGGGGUGUUCCUGUACGAGCUGGUGUACGGGCGCACGCCGUUCAAGGGCCCCGCCAAGGACGUGACGCUCAAGAACAUCCUGUCGAAGCAGGUGACGUACCCGAAGCUGGACGGCGAGGCCGAGGCGGCCGCGCAGCUCAAGGACCUCGUCGGCAGGCUGCUGGAGAGGGACCCGCGGCGGCGCAUGGGGUCCGCGCGCGGGGCGGCCGAGAUCAAGCGGCACCCGUUCUUCGCGGGCGUGGACUGGGCGCUGAUACGGUGCGUGACGCCGCCGGUGGUGCCGGAGGCCGACGCCGCCGCCGCCGCGUCCCCCGCCUCCGCCGCUAGGCAGGCGAAGCUCGGGAGCUGGAACAGCCUGGGCGGCAGCAGCUUCAAGAAGAGCAGUAGCUUCAAGAAGAGCAGCAGCUUCGGGAGGAGGUCGAGCUACGAGGAGCGGCAGGGGGUUUUCCGCAAGCUGAUGAGCUGGAACCAUGAGAGCCGAUCCAAGAAGACCAAGACGAGCAGAAUGAAGCCAUGA